UACGAAGGGGGCUAGCGUUGUUCGGAAUUACUGGGCGUAAAGCGCGCGCAGGCGGUCUUCCAAGUCAGUGGUGAAAGCCCGGAGCUCAACUCCGGAACUGCCAUUGAAACUGUUAGACUUGAGUAUGAGAGAGGUGAGUGGAAUUCCCAGUGUAGAGGUGAAAUUCGUAGAUAUUCGCAAGAACACCAGUGGCGAAGGCGGCUCACUGGGUCAUUACUGACGCUGAGGCACGAAAGCGUGGGGAGCAAACAGG
rnacentral:rRNA from 1 species